AUUGAACGCUGGCGGCAUGAUUUACACAUGCAAGUCGAACGGUAACAGGCCGCAAGGUUCUGACGAGUGGCGAACGGGUGAGUAAUGCACCGGAACGUGCCCAGUCGUGGGGGAUAACUACUCGACAGAGUAGCUAAUACCGCAUACGAUCUAUGGAUGAAAGCGGGGGACGGUAAGGCCUCGCGCGAUUGGAGGGGCCGGUGCCGGAGUAGGUAGUUGGUGGGGUAAAGGCACACCAAGCCAACGACCUGGAGCUGGUCUGAGAGAACGACCAGCCACACUGGGGGUGAGCCACGGCCCAGACUCCUGCGGGAGGGAGCAGUGGGGAAUGUGAGACAAUGGGCGCAAGCCUUGUCCAGCAAUGCCGCGUGCAGGAAGAAGACCUUCGGGUUGUAAACUGCUUUUGUACGGAGCGAAACGGCUCUGGUUAAUACCCGGCGCUAAUGACGGUACCGGAAGAAUAAGCACCGGCUAACUACGUG
rnacentral:rRNA from 1 species